AGUGAACGCUGGCGGUAGGCCUAACACAUGCCAGUCGAACGGCAGCACAGUAAGAGCUUGCUCUUACGGGUGGCGAGUGGCGGACGGGUGAGGAAUACAUCGGAAUCUACUUUUUCGCGGGGGAUAACGUAGGGAAACUUACGCUAAUACCGCAUACGACCUACGGGUGAAAGCAGGGGAUCUUCGGACCUUGCGCGAUUGAAUGCGCCGAUGUCGGAUUAGCUAGUUGGCGGGGUAAAGGCCCACCAAGGCGACGAUCCGUAGCUGGUCUGAGAGGAUGAUCAGCCACACUGGAACUGAGACACGGUCCAGACACCUACGGGAGGCAGCAGUGGGGAAUAUGGGACAAGGGGCGCAAGCCUGAUCCAGCCAUACCGCGUGGGUGAAGAAGGCCUUCGGGUUGUAAAGCCCUUUUGUUGGGAAAGAAAAGCAGCAGGUUAAUACCCCGCUGUUCUGACGGUACCCAAAGAAUAAGCACCGGCUAACUUCGU
rnacentral:rRNA from 1 species